UCCGGCAGCCAUAGCGAACGGGUACCACCUGAAUCCAUCUCGAACUCAGAAGUGAAACCGUUUAGCGCCGAUGGUAGUGUGGGGCUUCCCCAUGUGAGAGUAGGUCACUGCCGGAC
rnacentral:rRNA from 1 species